rnacentral:tRNA from 1 species
GGCUCAGUGUUAGAGUGCUUGCCUUGCAUGCAUGAGGCCCUGGGUUCUAUUCCUAG